rnacentral:rRNA from 1 species
UACGUAGGUGGCAAGCGUUAUCCGGAAUUAUUGGGCGUAAAGCGCGCGCAGGUGGUUUCUUAAGUCUGAUGUGAAAGCCCACGGCUCAACCGUGGAGGGUCAUUGGAAACUGGGAGACUUGAGUGCAGAAGAGGAAAGUGGAAUUCCCAUGUGUAGCGGUGAAAUGCGUAGAGAUAUGGAGGAACACCAGUGGCGAAGGCGACUUUCUGGUCUGUAACUGACACUGAGGCGCGAAAGCGUGGGGAGCAAACAGG